AUUGAACGCUGGCGGCAGGCCUAACACAUGCAAGUCGAGCGAGCGGCGGACGGGUGAGUAAUGUAUGGGGACUGCCCGAUAGAGGGGGAUAACUACUGGAAACGGUGGCUAAUACCGCAUACUAUCGGAUAACACAUAUGGGAUUAGCUAGUAGGUGGGGUAAAGGCUCACCUAGGCGACGAUCUCUAGCUGGUCUGAGAGGAUGAUCCGGCAAACUGGUAGUGAGACAAGGCCCAGAUUCCAAGGGGGGGAGCAGUGGGGAAUAAUGGACAAGGGGGCGAAGCCUGAUGCAGCAAUGCCGCGGGUAUGAAGAAGGGCUUAGGGGUGUAAAGUACUUUCAGCGGGGAGGCGUUACCCGCAGAAGAAGCACCGGCUAACUCCGUGCCAGCAGCCGCGGUAAUAC
rnacentral:rRNA from 1 species